rnacentral:tRNA from 1 species
ACUUAUUUGGUGGAAUUGGUAGACACGUCAGACUUAAAAUCUGAUUCUAUAAUUGGAGUAUCGGUUCAAGUCCGAUAAUAAGUA